rnacentral:rRNA from 1 species
GAUGAACGUUGGCGGCGUGCUUAACACAUGCAAGUCGAACGAUGAUGCCCAGCUUGCUGGGUGGAUUAGUGGCGAACGGGUGAGUAACACGUGAGUAACCUGCCCUUGACUCUGGGAUAAGCCUGGGAAACUGGGUCUAAUACCGGAUACGACCAUCUGGCGCAUGUCAUGGUGGUGGAAAGCUUUUGUGGUUUUGGAUGGACUCGCGGCCUAUCAGCUUGUUGGUGGGGUAAUGGCCUACCAAGGCGACGACGGGUAGCCGGCCUGAGAGGGUGACCGGCCACACUGGGACUGAGACACGGCCCAGACUCCUACGGGAGGCAGCAGUGGGGAAUAUUGCACAAUGGGCGCAAGCCUGAUGCAGCGACGCCGCGUGAGGGAUGACGGCCUUCGGGUUGUAAACCUCUUUCAGUAGGGAAGAAGCGAAAGUGACGGUACCUGCAGAAGAAGCGCCGGCUAACUACGUG